UUGUUGUUGUUUGGUUAUGUUUAAUAAAUAAAAAAAUAAAAAUAAAUGAAUAAACUGCAAAAGAAUGAUACACAUAAUAUAUAUAUUAUGUAAUAUAUAUAUUAUAACUAAAACAAAACUUAUUUUAAAAAAGGCCACCCCAACUUACAUCAGCGUGAUCAAAUCUACAUCAAACGACAAAAAACAUGUUUGAAAAGUGAAAUUUAAUUAUUUAGUUUGUCUCACGUCCCAUUAGAUCAAUCGUAUCAUUAGAUUACAUGGAGAGGGCGGGGUUUAUGACCUAAACUGGGACCAGCCACUUGGGGUCGAUCGCAACGCGAUGGCUUAACUUUUGAGGACUAGUGCGACACACUUGAUUUAAACAGCCAGAAUCGACUCUAUACGGAAUAUCAAAGUGUUUCAUAGGAACUUUUUUCAAAGCUAAACCAUGAUUUUCGUGUAGCUGCUUCAUAGAAAGGCGGUGGAUUUUGUGAAUCUGUGUAAAUAAGAGUCAGUGCUGGAGAUCAGAUUCUGUUUCAUCAUGGAGGACACACAAAAAUCCACAGAUCAAGAGUUUUCUCCAGGAUGCAGUUCAGUUCAGCAGAAGAGAUCAGAAGCAGAGUCCAGCUGUGUGUCUGUGAGGAGUGAUUGGUCUAUGCAUCAUUCAGUAAAAUUUAAGAGUGGAGAUACAAAGACUGAUCUCAGGUACAUUUUUAUAUAACUAUUAUUACAGCAUGUCAUUUUAUGUUAUCGAAAUAGCAUCUAUACAUAGUACUGUAUUUUCAACAAUAGGCCUUUAUGAGAAAUUCUUCUUGUACAUUGCUA
ensembl:lncRNA